rnacentral:rRNA from 1 species
CAGGCCUAACACAUGCAAGUCGAACGGAAAGGCCCUGCUUUUGUGGGGUGCUCGAGUGGCGAACGGGUGAGUAACACGUAGGCAACCUGCCUGUAAGAUCGGGAUAACUACCGGAAACGGUAGCUAAGACCGGAUAGCUGGUUUCUCCGCAUGGGGGAAUCAUGAAACAUGGGGCAACCUAUGGCUUACGGAUGGGCCUGCGGCGCAUUAGCUAGUUGGUGGGGUAAUGGCCCACCAAGGCGACGAUGCGUAGCCGACCUGAGAGGGUGAUCGGCCACACUGGGACUGAGACACGGCCCAGACUCCUACGGGAGGCAGCAGUAGGGAAUCUUCCGCAAUGGGCGCAAGCCUGACGGAGCAACGCCGCGUGAGUGAUGAAGGUUUUCGGAUCGUAAAGCUCUGUUGCCAAGGAAGAACGCCUCGGAGAGUAACUGCUCUGAGGGUGACGGUACUUGAGAAGAAAGCCCCGGCUAACUACGUGCCAGCAGCCGCGGUAAUACGUAGGGGGCAAGCGUUGUCCGGAAUUAUUGGGCGUAAAGCGCGCGCAGGCGGUCUUUUAAGUUUGGUGUUUAAGCCCGGGGCUCAACCCCGGUUCGCACUGAAAACUGGGAGACUUGAGUGCAGGAGAGGAAAGCGGAAUUCCACGUGUAGCGGUGAAAUGCGUAGAGAUGUGGAGGAACACCAGUGGCGAAGGCGGCUUUCUGGACUGUAACUGACGCUGAGGCGCGAAAGCGUGGGGAGCAAACAGGA